UUAUAAACCUGAUAUAGUGAAAAUCCUUUUUAAUUUGCAACGACCAUAAAUACACUGUCAUGCUGAGGCACGAAGCAUCUGUAACCGAUACGCUUCCUCCGUAUUCAAUGCACUGACAGCACCUGUUAAAAAGAUUGGAACGAUAGCAGGACUACAG
rnacentral:sRNA from 1 species